rnacentral:rRNA from 1 species
GGAGACAGUGCUGCAUGGCUGUCGUCAGCUCGUGUCGUGAGAUGUUGGGUUAAGUCCCGCAACGAGCGCAACCCUUGUCCUUAGUUGCCAUCAUUCAGUUGGGCACUCUAAAGAGACUGCCGGUGUCAAACCGGAGGAAGGUGGGGAUGACGUCAAGUCCUCAUGGCCUUUAUGACCAGGGCUACACACGUACUACAAUGGCCGGUACAAAGGGCAGCCACUUAGCGAUAAGGAGCCAAUCCCGUAAAGCCGGUCUCAGUCCGGAUUGGAGUCUGCAACUCGACUCCAUGAAGUUGGAAUCGCUAGUAAUCGCAGAUCAGCACGCUGCGGUGAAUACGUUCCCGGGCCUU